GCGUUAGUAGUUUAGUGGCAAAAUCGCUGCCUCCCACGCAGCGGCCCCGGGUUCGAUUCCCGGCUGACGCA